GACGAACGCUGGCGGCGUGCUUAACACAUGCAAGUCGAACGGAAAGGCCCUGCUUUUGUGGGGUGCUCGAGUGGCGAACGGGUGAGUAACACGUGAGUAACCUGCCCUUGACUUUGGGAUAACUUCAGGAAACUGGGGCUAAUACCGGAUAGGAGCUACUGCUGCAUGGUGGGGGUUGGAAAGUUUCGGCGGUUGGGGAUGGUAUCGCGGCUUAUCAGCUUGUUGGUGGGGUAGUGGCUUACCAAGGCUUUGACGGGUAGCCGGCCUGGGAGGGUGACCGGCCACAUUGGGACUGAGAGACGGCCCAGACUCCUACGGGAGGCAGCAGUGGGGAAUAUUGCACAAUGGGCGGAAGCCUGAUGCAGCAACGCCGCGUGCGGGAUGACGGCCUUCGGGUUGUAAACCGCUUUCGCCUGUGACGAAGCGUGAGUGACGGUAAUGGGUAAAGAAGCACCGGCUAACUACGUG
rnacentral:rRNA from 1 species